rnacentral:rRNA from 1 species
CCUACGGGAGGCAGCAGUGAGGAAUAUUGGUCAAUGGACGAGAGUCUGAACCAGCCAAGUAGCGUGAAGGAUGACUGCCCUAUGGGUUGUACACUUCUUUUAUAUGGGAAUAAAACGUUCCACGUGUGGGAUUUUGUAUGUACCAUCUGAAUCAGGAUCGGCUAACUCCGUGCCAGCAGCCGCGGUAAUACGGAGUGUCCGAGCGUUAUCCGGAUUGAUUGGGGUUAAAGGGAGCGUAGGUGGAUUGUUAAGUCAGUUGUGAAAGUUUGCGGCUCAACCAUAAAAUUGCAGUUGAAACUGGGAGUCUUGAGUACAGUAGAGGUAGGCGGAAUUCGUGGUGUAGCGGUGAAAUGCUUAGAUAUCACGAAGAACUCCGAUUGCGAAGGCAGUUCACUGGACUGCAACUGACACUGAGGCUCGAAAGUGUGGGUAUCAAACAGGAUUAGAUACCCCUGUAGUC